GAGGCCGAGUGGAGCACACGUG
rnacentral:siRNA from 1 species